CAAAACCUCUCGGUUUGCUUGAGUAGAAAUGGAGUAAUGUCUGUGUAUGUUAAAAUGUUAAACAUUUACCACCCAAAAUCCUCACUACUUUCAAAUAGUUCUUUUCAUUUUAUUCUAGUUGUUGCAGACUCAAUUUAAAUAGAUUAACUUAUAAAACAUCUUUUUUCUUUUUUAAAUCCAAAAGUUCCUGCCGCUUGUUUAAGAUGAGUACAAACAACAAGUUGAGAAUUAAAUGAAGUUCACUUGAACUCUUUAAUUAAGCAGAAUGUUUUAUUUUACAGUGAGGAAGGCCGGAGUCUAGCUUUAGCAGAUGGCUGGAGGCAUCUGACCCGCUUCAAACUCAGUACCUGUUUGCUCUACGGCAAAAAUUUGGUAAGAUUAAAUUUAGUCGGCUAAAGAAAAUCAGACGGUUCAUUACGAGUGAAAUCUCUUGAGGUAUUCAAGUUUCUUGUUUGUUCAGAUCUUGCUAGUCAUUUCCAUAGUAUGGUUACUAAUUAGCAGUUGAUUCUUUUGUGUCUAGAUGCAAUAUAAUCAUUCAGUUCACAAUUAAAGUUUUAUCAUCAGGAUUCUGCAAAUAUAAUAUUUUCAUAGUAUCUUUCAAUCAUUCUUUUCAUACAGUCUAGGCUAUAUAGAAAUAUUAAAUGUGUAUGUUCUUUGAUAAUGUUUUACAAUAUAACCUGAUAUGUAUGCAUCAUAAUCUGUAACCUGUUUUACUUAUUUAAUGUGGCGUGACCACUAACCACGCUCUGAGUUCGUGCCAGGCAUCGUUCUAAGAUUGUCGCACGCUAAGUCGUGGACAGCUGCACCUACGCAGGGUUGGACACAUGGACGAAUUGAAUGGUUAUUCCGUGUUUCAUACUCUUACCAAGAUCCGAGUUCGUGUUGUAACUUAAGAGGUCAGUUUGAACCAUCACACAAACAAUGGCUGGAAUUCAUGGUCAGAUAUGAAAUGGGAAGUGACCGCACAAUUAUUAGAGAAUCUGCCUGAGAGAGAGGAAAUGGCCAUUCUUCGCUCUCACGCAAUGAAAGAGUAUAAGACAGGAGUAGUCCCUCGUCUUAGAAGAGUCUGCCGUGGGUUGCGUACGGACGCCCUGCCACGUGAAUGCUGCUCCCUGCCUAGACUGACGGCUCUCCAGUCUUGGGUCACGAAACUGACUGCUCGUGACUGGAGGAGACAACUGUCAGCAUUGAUCGCACCCUCAAGUGAAUCUGCAACAGCGCUGAUAAGGAGAAAUGCAGAGGGGGUCGUUUCCCCUCUGACCCCUCAGACCGUUUCCUGUAGAAUAUUGUGUUAGGAGUUGAUUGUGCGGUAUGAAGCAAGCUUGAAUAGGUUUCAGUUGGUGUGUUUCCCCCACCCCCUUUAGUAACUGAACCUCAUGUAACUAGGGUGUUCCCAAACUAAAUAAAAAGCCUGGAGAGCGGAGACUGCUUCAGAGUUGGGUUGGAGGAUUGUAAACUGAGCAGUCUCCGAGCAACUCUCCUUGCAAGUAUACAGCU